GACGAACCACACAAACGUUAUUCGGAAUUACUGGGCUUAAAGGGGGCGUAGGCGGCGCGGAAAGUAGGGUGUGAAAUCCCUCGGCUCAACCGAGGAAUUGCGCCCUAAACUACCGUGCUCGAGGGAGAUAGAGGUGAGCGGAACUUAGGGUGGAGCGGUGAAAUGCGUUGAUAUCCUAAGGAACACCGGUGGCGAAGGCGGCAUUCUGGACCAAUAUUGACGCUGAGGAGCGAAAGCCAGGGGAGCAAACGGG
rnacentral:rRNA from 1 species